rnacentral:tRNA from 1 species
UAGGCAGAAGCCGGCAGGAUUAGGCACUUAGCUGUUAACUAAGGGAUUAUGGGAUCGAGGCCCAUCUGCCUAG